GGCAAGGCUUGGGGGUAGUGUAUGGGUGUUGUGUGGAAGGUGUGGAGAUGAAGAAUGGUGGUGGAAAUCGGCAGAGAUGGAGGAGGACUGGUUUCUGAGGUUGUGGAUGGGUUUUGACGAAUUUGGGAGAGUGUGUGGCUGAAUGGAGAUGUUUGUGGCUGCACAAACAUGUUUAUUUAAAGGGAUUAGGAAAUUAAAAACCCUAGACUAAUUAGGUAAUCAGGAAUUAAGUUUAAAGCUUCUAGAAUUAAGGAAACAAAUCAGAAAAUUAAAGGAAAUAGCAAGGGAAAUUCGGCUAGGGUUAAAAACACAAAAGGAAAGUGUUUUAAAGCCUAGAAUCAGGAAAUAAGAAAGAGGAAAUACCAAGGGGGGUGCGGCAAGGGUUCAAAAGGUGCAAGAAAUGUGUAUUUGAUGUCCUAGAAUGCUUAGGAAGUCUUCAUAAUUGCUGGAACUUUUAGGGACAAUUAGGAAAAAUCAAACCAAAGUAGGAAACCUUGGCUUAACUUUCCUACUUCAAGUAGGAAUCCUUGUUGGAGGAGGAAUCCUUGUUCUUCUAGGAAUCCUCAUGUGAUUAGGAAUCCAUCUUCAAUUAGGAAUCCUUCGUUGAUUAGGAAUCCUUCGUUGAUUAGGAAUCCUUCGUCGAUUAGGAAUCCUCCUUCAUGUAAGCACUUUCCUACUUCAACUAGGAAACCUUGUUCAAGUAGGAAUCAUCAUCUUCAAGUCUUCAAAUUCGUCCAAACCUUGGCUCCAAUUAUGUGAUAAUCAUUCCAAGCCCAAUUUUGCUCCAAAAAGCUCCAAAAUGCAUCUUCUUGCAUCCUUUGGCCUUAAAACCUGAAAACACAUAAAACUAGCUUAAAAGACUACUUUAACUAAGAAAACACCAUGGAAAUGCAUAAGAACUAGCUAACUAAGGCGCAUAAAUAUGCUCCUAUCAAAUUCCCCCACACUUAGCUUUUGCUAGUCCUCGAGCAAAACAAACAAAAGAAAGGAAACAAAACGAAACAAACUAACCAAAACAAAACCUAAACCUUCCAACAUUUGCUUAGGGAUUUCCAAUGCACAUGACAUGUUAAAGAUUGUUAUCCCCACAGAUUUGAGUUCUCUUUACUCGUAAGCACAUACUUAAUUAAAGCCACUACUUACUAGUUCACAAGUAAUCAAUUAAAACAAUGCUUUGAAUGUGGUAACAUGCCUUAGAGAAUUCCCUCAAUUCCUUACAAGAUAUAUACUCUAUUUUCACUCAGAUUUUCUAACUCCACACCCUACACUAGUCAUAUGUGAGAAGAUUGAUGUAGAUAUGAAAACGAAUGCUCACAUAUAUGUUUCACAAAGAACGCAAUUUCUAGAGUUAAGAAGCAUGUUUAGAUAUGAUCUCAUGAAUGGAAUGCUACUACUUAGAUGCAAGAGCCAGUGACACCAUAUGCUCAUACCAAAUUCAAACUCCACAAAUUGAAACACAUAACACUCAAGAUAGAAGUUAAGGGUUGUAAUGGGGCUUGGGGUGUUGGUUAACAAGGAAAGGAUAGGGAAACAAACGUUCUUAAAGCAUAAUAAGCAAAGUAAUGAAAUCUAGACUUAGAAUCACUUAUGAUUGCAGAAACUCACUUAGACCCUUUCUUCAACUACCAUAAACAUGUGAACUUAUUUUCACUUAUUUCAUACUCUUUUUUUUUUUCUUUCUUUCCACAACUUUUUCUUUUCUUUUUCCACGAAUUUUUUUUUUUUCUUUUUAUUUUCACUCAUGCCUUAUUUCUUUUCUUGGCAUAUCAACACACACAUACAAAUUCCCCCACACUUGUUUUCUGCCAUACAUUAAUCAAAAGGGAUUCAAUUUGAAUCAUGCUUUACUAUGCUUCAAGAACAAGGGUAUGGAUGGUCCUAAUCUAGGCUAGGUAGGUGUAAUGUGGGUUAACAAAGACAAUGGCUAAACAAGGCUCAACGGGGUUAAACCUAAACAUAUAAUGGAGCAGGGCACACGGCUUUUUGGCUAAGGUGGUGGUCACUACACAACUUCAUCUUGAAUAUGUGUUAUGCAAAUCAAUAACAUGCUUUGAAUGAAAUGGGCAUGAGUUCUAGCAUUUGGAACUAAAUGAUGAAACGCCUUUUAAGUAGCAACCAAGCAAGGAAUAAUGAGAUCAUGCAACGACUUAGAAAACAAAGAAUGCACAGAAUUUAACUCUCCAAAUAAACGUUUAGGCUCAAGUCUCACAAGGUUGUAGCGUUAGUUUGAGUUCCUUCCUUCAAGCAUGUUACAAAAACUGAUUUUUUCUUUUAUGAUUGCAUGUGAAUUCAUAAGUUAUAACCACAACCAAGCAUAAACAAAGAGUAAAUCAAACUUUCAUCCAUGUUAAUCACUCUUCUUUAACAGCCAUGUAAUUACAAACCGAAUCCUCGUCAUUGUGUUGGAAGGUACCCUAAGACACAAACAAACACACAAAAACAACUCUUUUUGGGUUUUUCAAAACAAAUUUUUCAAAUUUUUAUGAGAUUUUCGGAUUUCUAUGUCUAAACACACCAAAAUGCUUCAAAACAUACUAAAAACACUUAAAACAGCAAGAAACAACAUUGUAAGUGAUAGGUGAAUAAAACCCACGAAUUUUCAUGCAAACAUAUUGUUUACCCCCCCACACUUAAAUCAAACAUUGUCCUCAAUGUUUCAAGCAUAAACUAACAUAAACAAAAAUCAAACAAACAAACAGCAACUAAACACACUAAUCAUGGCAGAUGGUAAACAACAAAGAGAAGGGUUUGAGAAAUUCAAAUCUGGAAUUGGAGUGCUCUCUAGGUCUUCCUUUGUCGAAUGCAUGGGUUGCCUCCCACGAAGCGCUUUCUUUUACAUCUUGCAGCCGGACGAAGAACAUGAUCAUGCCCCAUUGGAGCCCACGGCAUGGAGUGGGAUCUCCUCCACAACCUGCCCCACAAAGUUCUUGUACAUUGCAUCCUUGAACGGAAAUGGAUAGUGAUGUUUGUUGAUGGGUGCGUUGUGUUGCCUAAGGUUCAUGUUCAUGCGCCCACCAUCGGGGAUUUGCUUGGGUACCUGCACCAAAGAAGGGAACCAACUAUCAACUUUAAUGGGAAUUGGAUUUGGACUAGGUGCCUUACCUUGGUGUUGUGAUGAAGUGGCAGCAACAUGAACUUUUUUCCUCAUGGUGUUCUCGGCCACAUUGGGUAUCUUAAGGGCAGUGGCCGUGGGGUCCUUAUGCUCUACUUUAAUUCCCUCGUCUUGCAUGGCUCUUGAUGCAACCUUUGUGUUAGGGGCUGAAUGGUCCGUCCCUAUCUUUUCUAUUGUAUCAAUAACACAACAAGAAUGAACAACGUUAGGCGUCUCAAUGGAUUCAGAAAUUUUAAAACAAAUCAUAUCACCACCAAAUGCCAUAGUUACUUCUCCUUUGGCUACAUCAAUCUUGGUUUGAGCCGUUUUCAUGAAAGGCCGUCCAAGGAGAAUGGGCAAUGAAGGAGCAUGAUCCGAUUCAUCCAUCUCAAGAACAUAGAAAUCCGCCGGAAGAUCAAAUGAUUAACCUGCACCAAAACAUCUUCCACAACUCCCUUUGGAUAUGCAUUAGAUCUAUCGGCCAAUUGUAUGAUUACACCAUCAUUUUUUAACUUGCCUAGGUUCAUAGAUGCAUAAAUUGAAUAUGGCAUAACAUUUAUGGAUGCACCUAAGUCUAACAUGGCAGAUUUGAACCUAGUAUUACCAAUGACACAAGGAAUGGUGAAACUACCCGGAUCUUUGCAUUUAGGAGGUAGUUUACGUUGUAUCAUGGCAGACACAUUCUCACUUACCUGUACCACUUCUUUCUCCCGAAAACGUUUCUUUGUUGUACAAAGCUUCUUCAAACACUUGGCGUACUUCGGGAUUUGCUUGAUUGCAUCCAAGAGAGGUAUGUUAACUUGAACCUUCCUAAAUGUCUCUAGAACAUCUUUUUCCUCCUCUUCAUUCUUGAAUUGCGCAAAUCUGCGAGGGAAAGGAACAUUGGGCAGAUUAGUGUUUGAAUUCACAACAUUUGGAACAACAUUACCUGAGGUGGACGGAUGGGAGGGCUUAGGUGGCUGCGGCAUAGGUGGUACCACCCUUGCCGUGGGGUGUGAUGGCUCUUCCUCCUUGUUUUGGGCAGAUUCAUGUGCUUUGCUUCCUACUUCUUUUCCACUUCUUAGGGUGAUAGCUUUUGCAGAUUCAAACCCACCCUUAGGAUUGACUACCGUAGUGCUUGGUAACUUACCAUUCUCACGAAUUUGCCCCAAAAAUUCUGCCAUUUGGCCCAUUUGCUUCUUGAGCUCAUUAACUUCCUUUGCUUGGGUCUGCAAUCCCUGCGCCAUUGUGGUCAGUAAUUGAUAAGUUUUAUCAUCAUUCAUAGAAGUACCUGAGUUGUUUUGUGAUGAUUGUGCUUGAGGAGGUGGUUGUGGUGCCAUUGGCCUUGGAAUGAAACCCGGAGGUUGUCGGAAUCCACCUUGUUGGGCAGGUUGUUGUGCAUCUCUCCAUCUGAAAUUUGGGUGGUCACGCCAUCCUUGAUUGUAUGUAUUAGAGAAAGGAUCACCCCUUGGUUGGUUUUGAUUCCCAUAACCCACGGCAUGGGCAGAUUCCCACCCUCCAUUUUCAAUUAAUUGAGGGCAUUGAUCCGAUUGGUGUCCUUGAAUGGAGCAUACACCACAGAUUGUAGUUCCUUGCGUUUUGGGGCCUUCAACAAACUGCGAUAACAUAGAAGUAAGGUUAGCCAUUUGGGAUUGUAACUCAGAAAUAGAACUUACCUCAUUUACAUGAUGUGACCGUGGGGUAUCUCUCUGCCCAACACCUUCAUAUUGUUGUGCGUUGUGUGCUCGGUUCGCAAUGAGAGUCUUGGCAGCCACCGGAGUCAUGUCCACCAAUGCACCACCCGCCGAGGCAUCUAGCAUUUGGCGUUCCAUGGGAAGGAGUCCUUCGUAGAAGUAUUGAAGGAGCAACUCCUCCUUCAUUUGAUGCUGUGGACAAGAAGCAACAAGAGUUUUAAAACGUUCAUAAUAUGUUGGAAAUGACUCACCUUGGCUUUGUUGGAUGCCACUAAUGCGUUUCCUCAAAAGAAUGACUCUUGAGGUUGGAAAGAAUUUUUCCAAAAACGCUCGUUUCAUGCUCUCCCACGAGGUAACCGUCCCCGGGGCCAAUUCAUACAACCAAUCUUUAGCUUUAUCCAUUAGAGAGAAUGGAAAAGCUUUCAUCUUCAAAAAUGUUGCCAUCAACAUUUACCGGCGUCAUGCUUGAACAAACAACUUCAAACUCCUUCAAGUGUUUGUUUGGGUCUUCCAUGGACAGCCCAUGGUACUUUGGAACAUGAUGUAACAAGCUCGACUUCAAUUCGAACUCCUCGGUUUUCCCUUGGGCUGCCGCGGGGUAUUGGAUGCAAAGAGGGGCUGCAUUAUCCAAACCCGAGGCAGAAAGCUCCUUAAUGGUUCGGUUGUCCGCUGCCAUCUCUUGGUUCUCCUCUACAACUCUAGCCGUGGGCUCUUCUUCCUCUUCAAAUUCGUUUUCUUCGCAAUGAGGUUCCGGGCUAGGUGGAUUGGAUGCUUGUUGCCUUCUUGUUCUUCUCAAAGUUCGCUCAAAAUCGUCGUCGAACUCCAAAAUGUUUGCUUGGACAGAUUUGGAACUUCGAGUCAUACACUUGUACCUAAAACAAGAAAACAAGAAACCAAGUCAGAAACUGAAUUUAAAACAAACAAAAAUAACACAAAAAUAAAUAACGAGGGAUUAGCAACUUUGCUAAUCCCCGGCAACGGCGCCAAAAUUUGAUGUGAAAAUUAACUUAACACACAAAUUAAACCCUAUUUGUGACAAUUGUAGUAAUGAUGUAAGUAGGGAUCGUUCUAACCGGGGAUUAACUAGGGGUGCUAAUCUAAUACAAAUCGACUUAGAAACACAAAAACUAAACUUAAAGACUCUAAUUAGACUACUAAGAUUCAAAACAGAUUUGAAACACUCAAAUCUGCCCAAAACUGACUAAAACAAAAUAAUUGACUCAAACAGCAACUAAGACAAGAUUUGGACGAAUUUGACAAAACUUAUGACUCAAAAUACUUAAAAAACACCAAAGAGGACAGAUUAUGAAGACUCAAACUUAACAAAAUAUGGGGGAAUUGUGUUUGGACGAAUUUGAACUAAAUGCACAGAUUGUAAAUUAAAACAAAUUGUGAACUAAAUGUGAUGAAUCAAUGGGUGAUGGAAUGGCUAAGGGGUUCUUCUCCACACAUGAAAUUUAUGCAACGUAAUCGAUUUCCAGUUAUCAAAUUCAAUAAGUUAUGAACCUCGACACUCCAAGUUAAUUAGGUCCGCUUAAAUUAACUUUCAGAUUUCCCUAGAAUCAUUGAAUUGGAUGAAUAUGCAUCGCAAACAAAUUAUUCCUAACAAGUUCUCUAUAUGAACAGCAUGAUAAAGAUACAAGUUAGAAUCAUUAAGUUCUUUGGAAAUCAUAAGCAUCGACAAGGCAAUUGUUAACUAUGAAAAGCAUGAUACUCCUGCCAUGAAUUUACUUAACACGAUCGUGACUAGCGAUCUUCACUACUUGCGAAUAUAAAUUCAUAACGAUUAGGUGUAACAAACUUAUAUUCUAGCAACCAAAUUCCAGCAUGCAAAUCAAGCGUGCACUCUCAAUCAACAUACAAGAAUAAGUUUUGAAUUAAACGGUUAAGCAAAUUGUAUUCACGACUUAUGCAACGAUAACUGGAAGUAAUCAACUUAUUUCACAUAAAUAAACAUGGUUUUGAAUACACCCUUAGCCAAAACGAAUUUAGCCAAUCAUACUCAAUGAAAAACAAAGAUUACAAGAAGUAGACAUUGAAAUAUAAGAUAGAAAUACACCUAAAAUUGUUCAACAACUCAGAUUGAAGAGCCAAACAAUUUUCAUGAACUGUCUCCUUCUCUUCUCCUUGCGGCAGAUUGGGGGGAGGAUGAUUUCUGGGGGGUUUUUGUGAUGUAGAAUGGAUUAUGGAUGGUGUAGGGGCACGGCAAGGCUUGGGGGUAGUGUAUGGGUGUUGUUGUGGAAGGUGUGGAGAUGAAGAAUGGUGGUGGAAAUCGGCAGAGAUGGAGGAGGACUGGUUUCUGAGGUUGUGGAUGGGUUUUUGACGAAUUUGGGAGAGUGUGUGGCUGAAUGGAGAUGUUUGUGGCUGCACAAACAUGUUUAUUUAAAGGGAUUAGGAAAUUAAAACCCUAGACUAAUUAGGUAAUCAGGAAUUAAGUUUUAAAGCUUCUAGAAUUAAGGAAACAAAUCAGAAAAUUAAAGGAAAUAGCAAGGGAAAUUCGGCUAGGGUUAAAAACACAAAAGGAAAGUGUUUUAAAGCCUAGAAUCAGGAAAUAAGAAAGAGGAAAUACC
rnacentral:lncRNA from 1 species